rnacentral:rRNA from 1 species
UACGUAGGGUGCGAGCGUUAAUCGGAAUUACUGGGCGUAAAGCGUGCGCAGGCGGUUAUGUAAGACAGGUGUGAAAUCCCCGGGCUCAACCUGGGAAUGGCCGUUGAAACUGGCGAACUGGAGUGUGGCAGAGGGGGGUGGAAUUCCGCGUGUAGCAGUGAAAUGCGUAGAGAUGCGGAGGAACACCGAUGGCGAAGGCAGCCCCCUGGGCUGACACUGACGCUCAGGCACGAAAGCGUGGGGAGCAAACAGG